UGACGAGUCCUUGGAGAGCGGGAUGGUGGCGACAUUCCUCAUGUCAGCUCUCAAGUCCAUGGGAGCUUAUAGCUUCAUUGCACCAGUGUGGCAUUUGGGCCCCGGCUGGCAGCGACGACUGCCUUUCUGUUGGGUGUCUGAGUGCUAUGAAGAUGCACACGGGUCCACAUGCAUUCCGUUUUGAGAAUGUCAAUGGUUCACCAACUGCUGCUUUGGAUUUCACCGGUUGGUGGUAGUUGACCCGCUGUUUGGAAUGCAGCCAAUUCGAGUGAAGAAAUAUCCGUAUUUGUGGCUCUAUUACAAUGGUGAAAUCUACAACCAUAAGAAGGUCGGUGUCAGAUACAUCAGAACGGCAGGAGGCGUUAUGGCAUCAUCGGCUUGGCUUUCCCUGGAAAGGAAAUGGGAAGGGCCCUGUUUCACUUAGAC
rnacentral:lncRNA from 1 species